AGUGAACGCUGGCGGUGGGCCUAACACAUGCAAGUCGAACGGCAGCACAGAGGAGCUUGCUCCUUGGGUGGCGAGUGGCGGACGGGUGAGGAAUACAUCGGAAUCUACUCUGUCGUGGGGGAUAACGUAGGGAAACUUACGCUAAUACCGCAUACGACCUACGGGUGAAAGCAGGGGACCUUCGGGCCUUGCGCGAUUGAAUGAGCCGAUGUCGGAUUAGCUAGUUGGCGGGGUAAAGGCCCACCAAGGCGACGAUCCGUAGCUGGUCUGAGGGGAUGAUCAGCCACACUGGAACUGAGACACGGUCCAGACUCCUACGGGAGGAAGCAGUGGGGAAGAUUUGACAAUGGGCGCAAGCCUGAUCCAGCCAUACCGCGUGGGUGAAGAAGGCCUUCGGGUUGUAAAGCCCUUUUGUUGGGAAAGAAAUCCAGCUGGCUAAUACCCGGUUGGGAUGACGGUACCCAAAGAAUAAGCACCGGCUAACUUCGUGCCAGCAGCCGCGGUAA
rnacentral:rRNA from 1 species